UACGGGGGGGCAAGCGUUGUUCGGAAUUACUGGGCGUAAAGGGCUCGUAGGCGGCCAACUAAGUCAGACGUGAAAUCCCUCGGCUUAACCGGGGAACUGCGUCUGAUACUGGAUGGCUUGAGUUCGGGAGAGGGAUGUGGAAUUCCAGGUGUAGCGGUGAAAUGCGUAGAUAUCUGGAGGAACACCGGUGGCGAAGGCGGCAUCCUGGACCGACACUGACGCUGAUGAGCGAAAGCGUGGGUAGCGAACAGG
rnacentral:rRNA from 1 species